AGAGUUUGAUCCUGGCUCAGGAUGAACGCUGGCGGCGUGCUUAACACAUGCAAGUCGAACGGGAAACCUUUUAUUGAAGCUUCGGCAGAUUUAACUGGUUUCUAGUGGCGGACGGGUGAGUAACGCGUGGGUAACCUGCCUUGUACAGGGGGAUAACAGUCAGAAAUGACUGCUAAUACCGCAUAAGCGCACAGGACCGCAUGGUCCGGUGUGAAAAACUCCGGUGGUAUAAGAUGGACCCGCGUUGGAUUAGCUUGUUGGUGGGGUAACGGCCCACCAAGGCGACGAUCCAUAGCCGGCCUGAGAGGGUGAACGGCCACAUUGGGACUGAGACACGGCCCAGACUCCUACGGGAGGCAGCAGUGGGGAAUAUUGCACAAUGGGGGAAACCCUGAUGCAGCGACGCCGCGUGAAGGAAGAAGUAUCUCGGUAUGUAAACUUCUAUCAGCAGGGAAGAAAAUGACGGUACCUGACUAAGAAGCCCCGGCUAACUACGUGCCAGCAGCCGCGGUAAUACGUAGGGGGCAAGCGUUAUCCGGAUUUACUGGGUGUAAAGGGAGCGUAGGCGGAUGGACAAGUCUGAUGUGAAAGGCUGGGGCUCAACCCCGGGACUGCAUUGGAAACUGCCCGUCUUGAGUGCCGGAGAGGUAAGCGGAAUUCCUAGUGUAGCGGUGAAAUGCGUAGAUAUUAGGAGGAACACCAGUGGCGAAGGCGGCUUACUGGACGGUAACUGACGUUGAAGCUCGAAAGCGCGGGUAUCGAACAGGAUUAGAUACCCUGGUAGUCCGCGCGGUAAACGAUGGAUGCCCGCUGUUGGGCCAACUGGUUCAGCGGCCAAGCGAAAGCAUUAAGCAUCCCACCUGGGGAGUACGCCGGCAACGGUGAAACUCAAAGGAAUUGACGGGGGCCCGCACAAGCGGAGGAACAUGUGGUUUAAUUCGAUGAUACGCGAGGAACCUUACCCGGGCUUGAAUUGCAGAGGAAGGAUUUGGAGACAAUGACGCCCUUCGGGGCCUCUGUGAAGGUGCUGCAUGGUUGUCGUCAGCUCGUGCCGUGAGGUGUCGGCUUAAGUGCCAUAACGAGCGCAACCCCUCUCCAUAGUUGCCAUCAGGUUAAGCUGGGCACUCUGUGGACACUGCCACCGUAAGGUGUGAGGAAGGUGGGGAUGACGUCAAAUCAGCACGGCCCUUACGUCCGGGGCUACACACGUGUUACAAUGGCAGGUACAGAGAGCCGGUCGUAUGCAAAUACGAUCCAAUCCUUAAAGCCUGUCUCAGUUCGGACUGGGGUCUGCAACCCGACCCCACGAAGCUGGAUUCGCUAGUAAUCGCGCAUCAGCCAUGGCGCGGUGAAUACGUUCCCGGGCCUUGUACACACCGCCCGUCAAGCCAUGAAAGCCGGGGGCGCCUGAAGUCCGUGACCGCAAGGAUCGGCCUAGGGCGAAACUGGUAAUUGGGGCUAAGUCGUAACAAGGUA
rnacentral:rRNA from 1 species